rnacentral:rRNA from 1 species
AGAAUUUGAUCCUGGUUCAGAUUGAAUGCUGACAGCGUGGAUGAGGCAUGCAAGUCGCACGAAACAAGAAGUAGCUUGCUACUUUGAGUUUAGUGGCGGAAGGGUUAGUAAUACAUGGGUAACUUACCUCUAACUCUGGAAUAACGGUUGGAAACGACCGCUAAUACCGGAUGUGGUGCACUGAUUAUUUCGGUGUUAUUAAAGUGGGGGAUCGUAAGACCUCGCGGUUAGAGAGAGGCUCAUGGGAUAUCAGCUUGUUGGUGAGGUAAGAGCUCACCAAGGCUAAGACGUCUAGGCGGGUUGAGAGAUUGACCGCCAACACUGGGACUGAGACACUGCCCAGACUCCUACGGGAGGCUGCAGUCGAGAAUCUUUCGCAAUGGGGGAAACCCUGACGAAGCGACGCUGUGUGAGUGAUGAAGGCCUUAGGGUUGUAAAACUCUUUCGCAUGGGAACAAGAGAAGCUGGUCAAUAGCCAGCCUAUUUGAGGGUACCAUGUAAAGAAGCACCGGCUAACUACGUGCCAGCAGCUGCGGUAAUACGUAGGGUGCAAGCAUUAAUCGGAAUUAUUGGGCGUAAAGGGGGCGCAGGCGGAAUAGUAAGUCAGAUGUGAAAGCCCGGGGCUCAACCCCGGAACAGCGUUUGAAACUACUUUUCUAGAGGAUAGGCGGAGAAAACGGAACUCCACAUGUAGCGGUGAAAUGCGUAGAUAUGUGGAAGAACACCCGUGGCGAAAGCGGUUUUCUAGCUUAUUCCUGACGCUCAGGCCCGAAAGCUAGGGGAGCAAACAGGAUUAGAUACCCUGGUAGUCCUAGCAGUAAACGAUGCAUACUUGGUGUAACCGGACUCAACCCCGGUUGUGCCGUAGCUAACGCGUUAAGUAUGCCGCCUGGGGAGUACGCUCGCAAGGGUGAAACUCAAAAGAAUUGACGGGGACCCGCACAAGCAGUGGAGCAUGUGGUUUAAUUCGAUGCAACGCGAAGAACCUUACCCGGACUUGACAUGUAGUGGACAACUUCAGAACUGAAGCUUUUCUUCGGAACCACUAUACAGGUGCUGCGUGGCUGUCGUCAGCUCGUGCCGUGAGGUGUUGGGUUAAGUCCCGCAACGAGCGCAACCCCUGUCGUUAGUUGCCAGCAUGUAAUGAUGGGAACUCUAACGAGACUGCCUGGGUUAACCAGGAGGAAGGCGGGGAUGACGUCAAGUCCUCAUGGCCCUUAUGUCCGGGGCUACACACGUGCUACAAUGGUCGGUACAAAAGGCAGCAAAGCCGCGAGGUGGAGCAAAUCCAAAAAGCCGAUCCCAGUUCGGAUUGAAGUCUGCAACUCGACUUCAUGAAGUUGGAAUUGCUAGUAAUGGCGUGUCAGCAAUAACGCCGUGAAUACG